AGCACUACCCCUUUGUCCAAGUGCCUUAUAACAUGUCUUUAUAACUGGCUGUGUAAGAAUGAAGAAAAGCUGUCCAUCUUCUGAGAAGGAAGCAGCAUGUGCCAUCCUUCUGUCAGAAAACACCAAAGAGAUGAAGAAAUGAGAAAUCCAGAAACCAAAGACCUUGCUCUUUUGUCAAACAGACUUGGUAGAGCAGAGUUGCAAAAUCAGACCUUUGGGGGCUUGCGUGUUUCUCCUCUUACUCCCUGGUAAGCCCUGCCUUGAACUUCAGGCUGCCUGGCUUGGAUCCUGAUGCUGCUUUGCUGACACAAUCCAUUCUCCCAGGGAACACCCAGAGUUCCACUCCAGCCCUGGCAACGCUGCAGCAGAGUAGGCCAACUGUACGGAAAGUCUACAUUGGCUCGGAACAAUUGAGGCUGGGAGAGGCUGGUGAUUUCCUGCUUGGUCGUCUUUUAAAACCCAGCCAUCUGAAUCCGAGAGUUGCUUCUUCAGCAAGGCCUCCCCUGACUCCUUCAGAUGUCUAAGCACCACCCCUACUCUUCUGCUGCAGCAUCUCCACUUGCUUUUGUCCUUCAUCUCCCUGAAAUUAUUUGCUUACUCAUCCAUCCAUGUCAGUUGCAAAAGCAUGACUUCCUCUAGUCCAAAGGCCAUUCAUGUUCAAUAUGUUAGCACUCGGAGCGUCUCCAGUGGUUGUUUCAAACAAGGCAAAUGAGUUCAGUUGAACUUUAUAUGUUCUGCCCUCCGACUGUGACUGUUAUUUACUUCCCUCCAAACAAAAUGUAAUAAUAAAAUGACUAACUGAACACUG
rnacentral:lncRNA from 1 species